AUUGAACGCUGGCGGCAUGCCUUACACAUGCAAGUCGAACGGCAGCACGGGUGCUUGCACCUGGUGGCGAGUGGCGAACGGGUGAGUAAUACAUCGGAACGUACCUUAUCGUGGGGGAUAACGCAGCGAAAGCUGUGCUAAUACCGCAUACGCCCUGAGGGGGAAAGCGGGGGAUCGAAAGACCUCGCGCGAUUAGAGCGGCCGAUGCCUGAUUAGCUUGUUGGUGGGGUAAAAGCCCACCAAGGCGACGAUCAGUAGCUGGUCUGAGAGGACGAUCAGCCACACUGGGACUGAGACACGGCCCAGACUCCUACGGGAGGCAGCAGUGGGGAAUUUUGGACAAUGGGGGCAGCCCUGAUCCAGCAAUGCCGCGUGAGUGAAGAAGGCCUUCGGGUUGUAAGGCUCUUUUGUCAGGGAAGAAACACCGGCUCUAACACAGUCCGGGAAUGACGGUACCUGAAGAAUAAGCACCGGCUAACUUCGUGCCAGCAGCCGCCGUAA
rnacentral:rRNA from 1 species